rnacentral:rRNA from 1 species
UACGUAGGGGGCAAGCGUUGUCCGGAUUUACUGGGCGUAAAGCGCGCGCAGGCGGCUUCGCGCGUCCGACGUGAAAGCCCCCGGCCUCAACCGGGGAGGGUCGUUGGGUACGGCGGAGCUUGAGGGCGGUAGAGGUUGGUGGAAUUCCCGGUGUAGUGGUGAAUGCGUAGAGAUCGGAGGAACACCUGUGGCGAAGGCGGCCAACUGGCCGACCUGACGCUGAGGCACGAAGGCGUGG